rnacentral:misc_RNA from 1 species
UCCGGUUUGUCACCGGCAGUCUCCCUAGAGUCCCCGACUUUACUCGCUGGCAACUAGGGACAGGGGUUGCGCUCGUUGCGGGACUUAACCCAACAUCUCACGACACGAGCUGACGACAACCAUGCACCACCUGUGCACGAGCCCCGAAGGGCUGCCGUAUUUCUACGACAUUCCCGUGCAUGUCAAGCCCAGGUAAGGUGGGGAUGACGUACUGGAAGCAAGCU